AUUGAACGCUGGCGGCAGGCCUAACACAUGCAAGUCGAACGGUAACAGGAAGAAGCUUGCUUCUUUGCUGACGAGUGGCGGACGGGUGAGUAAUGUCUGGGAAACUGCCUGAUGGAGGGGGAUAACUACUGGAAACGGUAGCUAAUACCGCAUAACGUCGCAAGACCAAAGAGGGGGACCUUCGGGCCUCUUGCCAUCGGAUGUUCCCAGAUGGGAUUAGCUAGUAGGUGGGGUAACGGCUCACCUAGGCGACGAUCCCUAGCUGGUCUGAGAGGAUGACCAGCCACACUGGAACUGAGCCACGGUCCAGACUCCUACGGGAGGCAGCAGUGGGGAAUAUUGCACAAUGGGCGCAAGCCUGAUGCAGCCAUGCCGCGUGUAUGAAGAAGGCCUUCGGGUUGUAAAGUACUUUCAGCGGGGAGGAAGGGAGUAAAGUUAAUACCUUUGCUCAUUGACGUUACCCGCAGAAGAAGCACCGGCUAACUCCGUG
rnacentral:rRNA from 1 species